rnacentral:tRNA from 1 species
AGGGUUGUAGCUCAGUGGUGGAGUGCUUACCUUGCAUGUAUGAGGCACUGGGUUUGAUCCUCAGCACUA